CCCAAGGAACCAAACUGCUGCUUGGACCAUUCUCUGCAAUGCCAGAGCAGACUUUGGGUCAGAAGCAGAUACACUGUCAACUGAGGUAAGUCCAGACAUUGAGCCAGGUUGCGGAGGAGGCAAAUCCAGAACUAUAGUAACUGCUUCCAGUGCGGUGUGUUUUCCAUCUGGACCAGCUCCAACUAGACAGGUUUUCCAUAGUAGUUGUAGCACAUCUGCAUCUAUCUUUCCGGGAACUUUGGUGGCAAAAAUUCUGGCGAUCUCUAGAAGGGUUACUGCCAUAUCAGGAGUAGCCUUGAAACGAGCAUGAAGUGUCAGCAAUAUAUCAUUUACUAAUGGUGCUGGCCAAGCUGGAUCUGUAAGUUCUGAUGCGAUGAUGGAUUCUAAUUCAUCAAAGGACUCGUGAGGGCUUUGCAUCCAUAU
rnacentral:misc_RNA from 1 species